UUAUUAAGUGGAGGAAAAGAAACUAACAAGGAUUGGUCUAGUAACGGCGAGUGAAGAACCAAUUGUUCCUAUUGUGAAUUGGCGUCAUGCCGAAUUGUGGUCCUGCUUGUUAUGUGGCUGUGGAAAUCUUUUGGAAUGAAGUAGCAUAGAGGGUGAAACUCCUUUCUAAGCAGCCGCACUGAAAGCAGUGGAAGAGUCGAGUUGUUUGGGAUUGCAGCUCAAAUGGGUGGUAAAUUCCAUCUAAAACUAAAUACUUAUGAGAGACCGAUAGCGUACAAGUACCGUGAGGGAAAGAUGCAAAGUAGCGCGAGAGCGCUGUCAAAGAGUACCUGAAAUUGUUGAAAUGGAAGCGAAGGAAAUCAGUGUAAUCCAAUUAGCAAUUUUCAGUUGGCUUGCCUCCUGGACACUGCGAUUGGCAGCGUUUGCCGUGGUUGUGCUUUGUGCAUGGUUUUUGCGCCAGGCGCGACUGCGGCAGGCAAAAUGGUUUUCUUUUUCCCG
rnacentral:rRNA from 1 species